rnacentral:rRNA from 1 species
GGUAACGCUACGGCAGGCCCCCAUACAUUCAAGUCGAGGGGCAGCAGGACACUUCGGUGUUGCUGGCGACCGGCGCACGGGUGCGUACACGUAUGUAAUCUGCCUUGUACUGGGGAAUAGCCCCUGGAAACGGGGAUUAAUACCCCAUAUUGUCUUAACACAGCACAUGCUGGCAAGAUGAAAGCUCCGGCGGUACAAGAUGAGCAUGCGUCCCAUUAGCUUGUUGGUGAGGUAAUAGCUCACCAAGGCUGCGAUGGGUAGGGGUUCUAAGAGGAAGAUCCCCCACACCGGCACUGAGAUACGGGCCAGACUCCUACGGGAGGCAGCAGUAGGGAAUAUUGGUCAAUGGGCGCAAGCCUGAACCAGCCAUGCCGCGUGCAGGAUGAAGGCCCUCAGGGUUGUAAACUGCUUUUGUAUGGGAAUAAAAAGCCCUUGCGAGGGCUAUUGAAGGUACCAUAAGAAUAAGCACCGGCUAAACUCCGUUGCCAGACAGACCCGCGGUUAAUAA